UGAGAGAAUUAAUUAUUUUUGCUGUUGAAAUUGUUAUUGUUGGUGAAAUUUCUGAAGUGGGGUUGUUGAAAUCACAAUGGAUCAUGUUGUGGGUGGGAAGUUUAAGCUUGGAAGGAAGAUUAAAAGUGGUUCUUUUGGAAGUAUGGAAAUAAGGGGGUCAGCUUCUUGGCAUAUUAGGAAGCAUGGAAUUAAUUAGGAGGGCGUUUUUUUCGAUGAGGAUUCUUUGAGGUCGUAGCAGGGGUAAUUUGAUCUUGUGAUUGAACUUUUAGCUAGCCAUUUCAUUAUUUAUAAGCCCUACAGGCUUCAUCUUCUCAGGAUACAACACAACUAACUACACAGUUUUAGUUCUUGAAGCUGUUUUAGAAACAACAAUAGUUACUCUAGAACUGAAAAAUUGUACUAAAUGAUAGUUGUAGUACAAAUAGUUGUGAAUAUUAACGUGUUAUUCAUGGAUCAUGAUAAUGAAAUUCCACCUCUUAUGUUUUU